CACGUCCGGUUCGGAGGGCG
rnacentral:sRNA from 1 species